rnacentral:rRNA from 1 species
AGAGUUUGAUCAUGGCUCAGAUUGAACGCUGGCGGCAGGCCUAACACAUGCAAGUCGAACGGUAACAGGAAACAGCUUGCUGUUUCGCUGACGAGUGGCGGACGGGUGAGUAAUGUCUGGGAAGCUGCCUGAUGGAGGGGGAUAACUACUGGAAACGGUAGCUAAUACCGCAUAACGUCGCAAGACCAAAGAGGGGGACCUUCGGGCCUCUUGCCAUCAGAUGUGCCCAGACGGGAUUAGCUAGUAGGUGGGGUAACGGCUCACCUAGGCGACGAUCCCUAGCUGGUCUGAGAGGAUGACCAGCCACACUGGAACUGAGACACGGUCCAGACUCCUACGGGAGGCAGCAGUGGGGAAUAUUGCACAAUGGGCGCAAGCCUGAUGCAGCCAUGCCGCGUGUAUGAAGAAGGCCUUCGGGUUGUAAAGUACUUUCAGCGGGGAGGAAGGGAGUAAAGUUAAUACCUUUGCUCAUUGACGUUACCCGCAGAAGAAGCACCGGCUAACUCCGUGCCAGCAGCCGCGGUAAUACGGAGGGUGCAAGCGUUAAUCGGAAUUACUGGGCGUAAAGCGCACGCAGGCGGUUUGUUAAGUCAGAUGUGAAAUCCCCGGGCUCAACCUGGGAACUGCAUCUGAUACUGGCAAGCCUGAGUCUCGUAGAGGGGGGUAGAAUUCCAGGUGUAGCGGUGAAAUGCGUAGAGAUCUGGAGGAAUACCGGUGGCGAAGGCGGCCCCCUGGACGAAGACUGACGCUCAGGUGCGAAAGCGUGGGGAGCAAACAGGAUUAGAUACCCUGGUAGUCCACGCCGUAAACGAUGUCGACUUGGAGGUUGUGCCCUUGAGGCGUGGCUUCCGGAGCUAACGCGUUAAGUCGACCGCCUGGGGAGUACGGCCGCAAGGUUAAAACUCAAAUGAAUUGACGGGGGCCCGCACAAGCGGUGGAGCAUGUGGUUUAAUUCGAUGCAACGCGAAGAACCUUACCUGGUCUUGACAUCCACGGAAGUUUUCAGAGAUGAGAAUGUGCCUUCGGGAACCGUGAGACAGGUGCUGCAUGGCUGUCGUCAGCUCGUGUUGUGAAAUGUUGGGUUAAGUCCCGCAACGAGCGCAACCCUUAUCCUUUGUUGCCAGCGGUCCGGCCGGGAACUCAAAGGAGACUGCCAGUGAUAAACUGGAGGAAGGUGGGGAUGACGUCAAGUCAUCAUGGCCCUUACGACCAGGGCUACACACGUGCUACAAUGGCGCAUACAAAGAGAAGCGACCUCGCGAGAGCAAGCGGACCUCAUAAAGUGCGUCGUAGUCCGGAUUGGAGUCUGCAACUCGACUCCAUGAAGUCGGAAUCGCUAGUAAUCGUGGAUCAGAAUGCCACGGUGAAUACGUUCCCGGGCCUUGUACACACCGCCCGUCACACCAUGGGAGUGGGUUGCAAAAGAAGUAGGUAGCUUAACCUUCGGGAGGGCGCUUACCACUUUGUGAUUCGUGACUGGGGUGAAGUCGUAACAAGGUAACCGUAGGGGAACCUGCGGUUG